AUCCAGCUGUAGAGUCCCAAAUAUGACGAAACACGCGUCCUUGAU
rnacentral:hammerhead_ribozyme from 1 species